ACUAGUAUGAACGGCUAAAUGAGGACUUAACUGUCUCCUGAAUUUGACCAAUGAAACUGAUCUUUCAGUCCAAAAGCUGAAAUAUAAUCAUAAGACGAGAAGACCCUGUGGAGCUUUUAAACCCAGCCCACUAAAAUGCCUCCCCUGGGUUUUUGGUUGGGGCGACCUCGGAGAACAAAAAAACCUCCGACCAAGGAACUUUAUUCCAAAACAAGAUUAACAAAUCUGCAACUCUUGACCCAGGGCCAACACCAACUGAUCAACGAACCAAGUUACCCCAGGGAUAACAGCGCCAUCCUCUUUUAGAGUCCAUAUCGACAAGAGGGCUUACGACCUCGAUGUUGGAUCAGGACACCCCAAUAGUGCAGCAGCUAUUAAAG
rnacentral:rRNA from 1 species